UCACUUUACAAAAAAGGCAAAUAGCAAAAAUAGUCCUCAUUGUUCAUUUUGCAGCCAGCUGUUACAGAGGCAGCCUGCACCCUGAGCAGCCGGUGCACCCCCAAGCUCCUUCCACUGGAACUUCACUCAGCAUCUCAGCAUCAAGCCACUGUAACUUUGGACUGUGUCUGUGUUUUAUCUGGAUUUAUUUUUGCACCCAUUAGCUAGAAGUAUCCUUAAGUAAUUGCUUCUUUACUUUACACCACUUUGGCUUAUGAAAGUUAUCCUGGGAAUGCUCUGCUUUCAGAUAGUUGAGUAGAAACCUGUACUUUCUUCUUCACUGGGGUGGAAGCCUGCAAAUUACACUUUCCAGAGUUCCUGACUCCAUGUUAGCUUUGCCAGUGAGAAAGUAUAGAAGAAAGACUGAAAGGUAGAAAGAAGACAGGAGCUAUUUAUAUUCUGCUCCUAUCAGUGAUUGCCGGCAAUAACAGCAGCAGGUGACUGAAAAUAGAUCCAUGCUUCCAUAGGAUCCGGGCAGUACUGACAAGAUGGGGUAUGACAAGAUGGAGGGCUUCUCAGGUGGCCACAGUCCAGUUUUAAAUGCAGAAGAACAAAGGGAUUGCUUCUAGCAUUUUUGUGAUACAUGCAGGCUCAUAGCUUCCAGCCCAAGGAGGAAGCAUCUUCUAGGUCCUUUUUUUCCAUAGGAUCCUUCAGUCCCUCAUGAUACUAAACAGUUCAACAAGGAAACAUUAAUCCAGAGUAAGAAGCACAGGAUACAGGCCAGCACAUACAGAGACUAUGUAGACAUUGUGAAGAGGAAACUAAUCUAGAGAAAGCCAACUUAUGAACACCCUCCUGAAAUGACUCACACUGUGAGGAACUGCAACUUCUGCAUACCAACAAGUGAGUGUGCUCAGAAUGAAUUCUUUAUAACCAAUCACAUCUUUAGAGACUAUCCCUGGCUGACAGCUUGACUUCCUAAGAGCAGGCCGGGAAAGCGUACUCCUCAAUUCCUGCA